CGGGACGGGUGAGUAACGCGUGGAUAACCUGCCUCACACUGGGGGAUAACAGUUAGAAAUGGCUGCUAAUACCGCAUAAGCGCACAGUACCGUAUGGUACGGUGUGAAAAACCCAGGUGGUGUGAGAUGGAUCCGCGUCUGAUUAGCCAGUUGGCGGGGUAACGGCCCACCAAAGCGACGAUCAGUAGCCGACCUGAGAGGGUGACCGGCCACAUUGGGACUGAGACACGGCCCAA
rnacentral:rRNA from 1 species